rnacentral:lncRNA from 1 species
CGGUAGGAGAGGCAGGGGCUCACUCGGUGGACGCAUUCUGGACGGCCUUGUGCUCCUUCGUGGGCACCGCCCUCCCCCACCUCCCCCCAGCCAAUCGCCACCGUCGACCUCCUCGAUGACCACCACUGCGCACGGUGCGCACGUCCAGGCAGUAUGGGGCAACGCGGUAAACCCCGGGGUCAGAGGCAGCUGCGUGGAAACUCUGCACCCCACCCCUGCCGCAGAAGCUGUGCAGCGCCGGGCGGGUGCGUGCGGGGUGGAUCCGUGACGAUGCUCUCGGCGCCCAGGAGGAGCGUGAAGCGCUAGGCCAGGAAGAGAAGUGUCGGUGCUGCUGCUUCCUGCACAGCCUGCAGCUGCGAGCCAGAACUCACAGGUGUGCAGGGGCCCGGGCUCAAAUUGAACCGCGCCGCACUGGCAGCCCCCGAUGUAGCGCACGGGGCCUGGGUGCUCGAGGGUGUCCAGCAGGAACGCAGCGCUCCCCUCGCAGCUGAGGCUCCGCGGCUUCCUGAACGUCUCCCAGCGCUCCCGCUGCGCGCCCAGGUCCAUCUCCUUGGGGGACAGGGCGGGCGCCAGCGGCUUCGGGGAGGGCAGCGGAUCUUCCGAGCUCGCCUCUCGGAGACCGCCGCCACCAGCGCUUCCGCCUCAGCCUUGCCGGAUCCCUCUCGGCCGCCGCCGGCUUCCUCGCUGCCGCGUGGCUCCCCACCUAGCCUUGGACAGGUGGGCACCGCUGCGCGCCCACGACCGCGAUGGCUGCACAGGCGGCGGCAAGAUCCCCAGCCCUCUUUCACCCCCGCAGUUGAGCAUUCGCGCUGCUCUUCACUCUGGCCGUGGCGCCUGCAGCCUUCCAAGCGUGUGCCCACCGUCCUUCGUUUCCUAGUAAGUCACCGAGCAGCAGCCUCAUUGCAUCAGCCAGGUUGGCCACUUGUCGAACGCGGCGUAAAGAGCCCCUUCCCUUGACCCUAUCAAAACAGCCUUUACUUGCCUGAAUUUCAGUCAUAAGGCAAGUAUU